GUAGGGUGCGAGCGUUAAUCGGAUUACUGGGCGUAAAGCGGGCGCAGACGGUUACUUAAGCAGGAUGUGAAAUCCCCGGGCUCAACCUGGGAACUGCGUUCUGAACUGGGUAACUAGAGUGUGUCAGAGGGAGGUAGAAUUCCACGUGUAGCAGUGAAAUGCGUAGAGAUGUGGAGGAAUACCGAUGGCGAAGGCAGCCUCCUGGGAUAACACUGACGUUCAUGCCCGAAAGCGUGGGUAGCGAACAGGGAUUAGAUACCCUGGUAGUCCACGCCCUAAACGAUGUCGAUUAGCUGUUGGGCAGCUUGACCCGCUUAGUAGCGAAGCUAACGCGUGAAAUCGACCGCCUGGGAUACGGUCGCAAGAUUA
rnacentral:rRNA from 1 species